ACAACAACAACAACAACAACCGUUGAGCCAGGUCUCCUUCCAGCAGCCUCAGCAACAAUAUCCAUCAGGCCAGGGCUCCUUCCAGCCAUCUCAGCAAAACCCACAGGCCCAGGGCUCUUUCCAGCCUCAACAACUGCCCCAGUUUGAGGAAAUAAGGAACCUAGCGCUACAGACGCUACUUGCAAUGUGCGAUGUCUAUAUCCCUCCAUAUUGCACCAUUGCUCCAUUUGGCAUCUUUGGUACUAACUGAGAAGAGAAGAACUCUAGUAGUAGAUAUAUGAUACACCGUUUUCUUAGUCCAUGGUUUGGUCGUUGUAGCGGUGAAAAAAUAAAGUGACAUGCACUAUCAUGUAAGAACCCGAACUAUACUAGUUCAAACUUGGGAAUAAAAGACAAACACAGGUCUUGUCUACAUAUGAUUGUUUGUUUGAGUUCCACUCAUGUGCCCAUUCACAAGUUCACCCCUAAUUAUAUAUAUUAUGCAUUAAGUAGAUAUUUAUGUUGCAUUAAUCUAAAGAUAACAAAAUGAGUCUGAAAUUUGAAUUAAAUUGAAGUAUUUCCUUGGACUUUCAAAUGGAGUAUUAUUAAAGUAGUAAGGACUAUCCUCAUCCUUGGCUUGCCCUUGAUCAAUUAUUUCCAGAGAAGCAUUCAAUUCGUCAAUCAAUUACAUUGAUUUUUGCAGCCGGUACUUCUCCUCAACAUGAGUAUAUUCAUCGCGGCUACUCCAAAUCGGCAUGAAUGAGGUACCGGUGCUCUGGAGCACUAGUACCUAACAGCUUCUCAUGUGAAGGGGUGCGGGCACGGGAGAGGUGUUUUUGGUGGGCCAGGGGAGUAAGAAGCGGCCGUGGCAGCGGUGCAGACACCCACAAAGCCCCGUAGUUUGUUUUUCGUUUACAGGAAAAUGCACAUCCAGACCGGCCUGCGGGCCGAUAUAGGACCGUAUUGGAUGGCAAAACAUGUCCGGAUGGUUGCGAGCGGUUUGAGGGUUAGCUUUUGUAACGCCCGGUUAGUUAUGCUAUUGUAAUUCCCUGCUAAUGAUGUCACGUAACCACGAUUACUAUUGUUAACCUCACAAUGAUUCAAUCCCAUUCAAAUUCAAAUUUAAAAUAAAGGCAAACAUCAAAAUUUCCAAACAUUAAAACUUAAAUCUUCGAGAGGUGGAAAAUAAUGCAUAAGUAAUUAUGGUGGAGAAACCACACUUUUAUAAAAUGUUUAAAUACUGUAAAAGAAUAAACAGUGGCUUAAACUAUUAUUUAAAUCCUUUUAAAAUAGUAAAAAUGUUCUAACUAAAUUAAUUGGGUACCAAACUUUUGGUGGCAGUGGUAUAUUUAGUAGAACUAAUUUAGAUGCUAAUUAUAUAAUUUACAAAAUUAAAGUAAAUUGAAAAAUAGGAUAAAACAUAAAAGGAAAGACAAAAUAAAUAAAAGCAAAAGGGGGCAACCCCUCGCUGGGCCUCGGCCUAACUGGCCACUGGGCUAGCUAGGCCGGCCCAGCCGCCUCCCUUAACCCCCCACUCCCCAUCGAACCCUGGCCCGAUCGCCCCACUUCCCCCACACCCCGUCGUCAGCCUCCCCACCUGUCGAUCCCAUCUGGAUCGGGGAGGGGAUCGCCCCCAUCAACCCCGUCGCCGUCUCCGGAUCGCCCGCUCGCCCAUCGCCCGCCGGAGUCGCCGGGCCUCCUCCCUGCCGCCCGUCUCCGGCUCGCCUCCUCUCUCGCUCCUCUUCCCUGACCCAAUCUGGAUCGGGAAGGGGCAAUGCGCCCGACGCCCCCCUUCACCGACGCCGUGCGCCAACACCGCCGCCCGAAGACCUCGCCGUCACCGGACCUCGCGUCGCCUCCUCGUAUCCCUCCCCGCCUCGCCUCAAGCCAUGACGACCCCCUUCUCGGCAACGCUGUGAGCCGCCCCCGUUUCCCUCCUCCUCUUUCCACCGCGUUCACAGCGUCGCCCGCCGUGCCCCUCGCCGCGCGCUCGCCCACCACCGCGCCAGCCCCGGUCCGCGCCCUCUCCUGCAUGCUUGCGUGCGCAUGACCCUAGCCGCGCCUGCGCCGUGAUCCCCUUAUCCNNNNNNNNNNNNNNNNNNNNNNNNNNNNNNNNNNNNNNNNNNNNNNNNNNNNNNNNNNNNNNNNNNNNNNNNNNNNNNNNNNNNNNNNNNNNNNNNNNNNNNNNNNNNNNNNNNNNNNNNNNNNNNNNNNNNNNNNNNNNNNNNNNNNNNNNNNNNNNNNNNNNNNNNNNNNNNNNNNNNNNNNNNNNNNNNNNNNNNNNNNNNNNNNNNNNNNNNNNNNNNNNNNNNNNNNNNNNNNNNNNNNNNNNNNNNNNNNNNNNNNNNNNNNNNNNNNNNNNNNNNNNNNNNNNNNNNNNNNNNNNNNNNNNNNNNNNNNNNNNNNNNNNNNNNNNNNNNNNNNNNNNNNNNNNNNNNNNNNNNNNNNNNNNNNNNNNNNNNNNNNNNNNNNNNNNNNNNNNNNNNNNNNNNNNNNNNNNNNNNNNNNNNNNNNNNNNNNNNNNNNNNNNNNNNNNNACCAAGACCCACAUCCCCUAAUUAACCAUUUAAUAAAUUUAAACUCUUAAAUUAACAUUAGUGUAUGACAUGUGGGUCCCCUAUUAAUUAAACUAAUUUAAUUAAAAUCUAUUAACUUCAAGUCUAUGACAUAUGGGCCCCACUGAACAUUUGACCAGUCAACGGUCCAGUCAAAUGUUGACCGGAUAGUUGACCAGAGGGCCCCACCAGUCAGCCUCUGUGCUGUUCUCCUGGGUACCUUUCUGAGUACACCUAGCAUUUUGCAUUUACAAUAUUUGUUUUAAAAUAAAUUAGAAUAAUUUCAAAAAAAUGAUUGAAACUUUUAAAAUUAAAAAAAAUUAUCCGUAACUCGGAUGAAAUUACUUUAUACAUGGAAGUUGCUCAAAAAAUGAGACGAAUCCUAAUACACAGUCCGUUCUUCUGCCACACGUCCCUAGCAUAGCGAACAUGCAACCACCCCCCUCCGGUUCGACUGUCCGAAAAUGUCAAACACCGGGAAUACUUUUCCGGAUGUUUCCCCUUCACUAGUAGCACCUAGUACCGCGUGAGGCAUACCUAGCACCACUUAUUGUAAUGUCAUGCAUCGUCAUGCAUCUGUUUGCAUUGUAUUCAUUGUUUCUUGCUCCUCUUCUCUCCGGUAGACUACGAGACUGACGCCGGUGCUGCCCCGGUCGAUUACGGUGUCCAUGACCCCUCCUUGUCAGCAGAGCUUCCAGGCAAGCAAACCCCCUUGAUCAUCCCGAUAUCGCCUACUCUUUCCUCUACUGCUUGCAUUAGAGUAUUGUUACUGUUUGUCGGUUUGAUCCUAUACUGCUGCAUGGCCUGUCUUUGAUACUACUUAUGUGUUAUUUGUUAGUACGCUUGGAGAAAAUGCCUUUGAUUAGGGCAUCUUCAACAGCGACCAGUAAAUUUCCUCCCGCGUUCGUCCACGAAUAGGGGAUCAGUCCGCGGACACGGAUACAGGAAUUGGCCAUCCAACAAUGUCCGCAUAUAUUUAAAACACUUAAAAAAUAGGAUGAAAUUCAUGCAAACACAGUGGAUUUCAUACAAACCGGACAAAAAUGUUUACAUUUUGGACAUUUUUUUUUUACUAAAAACUCUACAGCCGGUGCCGGCGAAUAUCCACUCCGGCAACAUGGAUACCCUUGACUAGUCUACUGCCGGCCGCAGCAGAUCUCCAAUGUCGUCCCCAUGUUCGGCAGCUGUGAGCCCUAGAGGUAUAUGCUUCAGCGCAAAGAGCGGCUCGCCUCCUACCGCUCAUCGGAGUGGAACAACCAGUUGAUGCUUCUGCCGAUGGGGAAGGGUCCCUACGCUACACGAAUUAGAGUUGGUUUUGGGUUGGGGGAACGGCGGUGGCCUGUCAGAGGGCAAGACACCGACUGUGUACGCUGGUGUCACCUGGUGUGGCAUUCAUGGGACCCAAGCGGCAGCGCCUCCUCAAUGAUGGCAGCGAGCGCGGACGUGUUGGACACCACCUCGUCGAUGUCCGUGCAGCCCGCUUCUUUCUCUGUAGGAAGGACGCGGUUACGCUCGCGUUGACAUCGGAUGACUCGGUCACAUGCACGAGAGGGGCGGUACAACAUGGCACCGUCAAUGGCAGCCAUGAUGCCCGCGCCACCGUGGUCCCUCCCAGUGCCGACCUGGAGCAACUUGCCACUCCUCGGCUCGUGACCGGCGGGCUUUACGGGCCACCUAGCCAUUUUUUAUGCCAGCCAACUCUUCUUCCUGCUCGUCAGAUGUCAUGGAGAAAACUGUUCAAGGAGGAAAAUGAUGAGUGGACGUGUGAUGCGCUUCUUGCCCAACAUCUGACAUUGUUUAAAUAGCGAGGGGACACGAGAGGAGCCAACCGGCGUUCUGUUCAAUGCCAACUGGCUCGCGAACGAACAUGUGGCCGGAGUAAUUAUCCUGGCACACACGCGGGUUUAAUGGUGGAAGGCGGGCAGUCUGCAGGAAUGAGGUGAGGAUGCGUGUUUAGCCGGCGUGCAGCGGGCAGCGCCCUCGGCCGGCGUGCUGCUUCCAUUGCGGAGGUAGUGAGAGGUCGCGUCCGCUCUGCAGCGCAUGAAUGCGGGCAGCUGGCGCAGAGCGGGAACGCGUGCAUGGUUUGGGUGGGCACGGGUGGUGAGAAGAGGUCAUGGGUGUUGUCCGAACGCCUGGAAAGCCCCCCCUCCAUGUUUGUCUCCGGUUUACGGGAGAAAGUACGUCCGGACCGUUUGAUGGACCAAUACAGGCCCGCAUUGGAUGGCACAACACGUCCGGACCAUGUGGUCCGGAUGGUUGUGGACGGUUUAAUUGAGGGUCGACGUUGGAGAUGCCUUAGAGUUUAUGAAUCCAUUGUGUUUUUUAAUCAUAAAAAGCACUUAUAACAAGUUAUAAGGAAAGACACGUUUAUAUGUUAGGUUCGGACUCCAGCUUUCCUCUUACAUAUGCUUUAUUGUGAUCCGACUGAUUCCAAUAGAGUGAGCCUAGCGUUGUUUUUCUGGAAACUUGCGGGAUAAGGAGACAUGCAUACACAUUCAUUCAAGCAAAUCACAUCCAUUCUUUUUAACUCAUUUUUCUUCUUUUAAUAAUAUAAUAGAUCAUUUAUAUUUUUAUCUCAAACAGUUGACGUGUAAUUUAUACUGUAAUCUGAGGAUAAUGUUUGGAUUUACUUUCAAAUAUAUUUGAAAUGGCCAUGAUGGAAUCACAUCCAUUUAUUUUAUUAUUAUUUGAAUUUGAUCCAAAAGAUAAAUAAUGAGUAGAGGUCAUGUCAACUUUUCUGAGAACUUUGCUAAUCAAAAUAUAAUUUGUAUUUAAAAACAUCUUUUUAGCACGCAUGAAAAACAUAACGCCUAUCUUUUCACACAUGAUGAACGGUUGUCAUAAGAACUCAUGGCAUGCCACAAGCUCCCUCCGACCCUGCCAACAUUGUUACAGCUGCACUCGCAAGCUUUAUCGUAGAUGAUCAUUUAUACGAUUUGCGUAAAUCAAAAUAAGAUCUACAAACGAAUAGAAGCUAGAACGUACCUUGGCAUGCACACACAUUGCAAGCCAUACUAAGCUGAUAAGUGUUAAUAACUUCUACAACAUAUACAACACUUAAGACAAGUAAAAGCAAUUUGAUGAGUCAUGGUCUAUCAAAGGCACAUUACUAGUCUAAUCCAUCUUAACAGGUCACACAUGAUUAAAACCUUGUUUGUGUGCAAGUCAAGCUUAUCUAGUUUACAUGUAACAACUUGUAGAACAUUACAAAAUUUAUGUUUGCUAAUAACCUCUAGAACACUACAACACUUGACAUGUAAAAGGAAUUUGAUGAGUCAUGGCCUACUAAAGCAAGUUAUAUUACUAGUCUUAUCUACCUUAACAGGCCACACAAGAUUACAAACUAAGUUCUGUGCUAGCCAUGCUUAUCUAGUUUAUGCGUAACAAUUUGCAGAAAAUUACAAACUUAGUUUCAGAAAAAUAGGCAAUCUAGAUUAGUGUUUGAGCUGUAAAGUGAAUAAGAUGAGUCAUGUGUGUUAUCACACCUUUUUGGUUGUGGAAUAAUAGUGCAACAACAAGGAACUUUAAUGACCAGUCCAAGAAUACACUUGUAAGUAGUGCCACCGAACACAACAUGCCAAAUUUUGAUUUUGAGAAGCAUCCAAACACUUCCACACAAGCAAAUGCCAAUUGUGAAAGAGAUCAUGCCAUGGCAGCUAUAAAUAGGCCCGUAGCAUGACGAUCAUCCUUCCUCAUCCAUCAUUCUCAUAAGUAGAGCGCAUCAUUUAAGCCAAGCAAGCAGUGCUCAAUACAAAUCCACCAUGAAGACCUUUCUCAUCCUUGCCCUCCUUGCUAUUGUGGCGACCACCGCCACAACUGCAGUUAGAGUUCCAGUGCCACAAUUGCAGCUACAAAAUCCAUCUCAGCAACAGCCACAAGAGCAAGUUCCAUUGGUACAAGAACAACAAUUUCCAGGGCAGCAACAACCAUUUCCACCACAACAGCCAUAUCCGCAGCCGCAACCAUUUCCAUCACAACAACCAUAUCUGCAGCUGCAACCAUUUCCACAGCCGCAACUACCAUAUCCGCAGCCGCAACCAUUUCGACCACAACAACCAUAUCCACAGCCGCAACCACAGUAUUCGCAACCACAACAACCAAUUUCGCAGCAGCAGCAGCAGCAGCAGCAACAACAACAACAACAACAACAAAUCCUACAACAAAUUUUGCAACAACAACUGAUUCCAUGCAGGGAUGUUGUAUUGCAACAACACAACAUAGCGCAUGGAAGCUCACAAGUUUUGCAAGAAAGUACUUACCAGCUGGUGCAACAAUUGUGUUGUCAGCAGCUGUGGCAGAUCCCCGAGCAGUCGCGGUGCCAAGCCAUCCACAAUGUUGUUCAUGCUAUUAUUCUGCAUCAACAACACCACCACCACCAACAACAACAACAACAACAACAACAACAACCGUUGAGCCAAGUCUCCUUCCAACAGCCUCAGCAACAAUAUCCAUCAGGCCAGGGCUUCUUCCAACCAUCUCAGCAAAACCCACAGGCCCAGGGCUCUUUCCAGCCUCAACAACUGCCCCAGUUUGAGGCAAUAAGGAACCUAGCGCUACAGACGCUACCUGCAAUGUGCAAUGUGUAUAUCCCUCCAUAUUGCACCAUUGCUCCAUUUGGCAUCUUCGGUACUAACUGAGAAGAGAAGAACUCUAGUAGUAGAUAUAUGAUACACCGUUUUCUUAGUCCAUGGUUUGGUCGUUGUAGCGGUGAAAAAAUAAAGUGACAUGCACUAUCAUGUAAGAACCUGAACUAUACUAGUUCAAACUUGGGAAUAAAAGACAAACACAGGUCUUGUCUACAUAUGAUUGUUUGUUUGAGUUCCACUCAUGUGCCCAUUCACAAGUUCACCCCUAAUUAUAUAUAUUAUGCAUUAAGUAGAUAUUUAUGUUGCAUUAAUCUAAAGAUAACAAAAUGAGUCUGAAAUUUGAAUUAAAUUGAAGUAUUUCCUUGGACUUUCAAAUGGAGUAUUAUUAAAGUAGUAAGGACUAUCCACAUCCUUGGCUUGCCCUUGAUCAAUUAUUUGCUGAGAAGCAUUCAAUUCGUCAAUCAAUUACAUUGAUUUUUGUGGCUGGUACUUCUCCUCAACAUGAGUAUAUUCAUCGUGGCUACUCCAAAUCGGCAUGAAUGAGGUACCGGUGCUCUGGAGCACUAGUACCUAACAGCUUCUCAUGUGAAGGGGUGCGGGCACGGGAGAGGUGUUUUUGGUGGGUCAAGGGAGUAAGAAGCGGCCGUGGCAGCGGUCCAGACGCCCACAAAGCCUCGUAGUUUGUUUUUGGUUUACAGGAAAAUGCACAUCCAGACUGGCCUGCGGGCCGAUAUAGGACCGUAUUGGAUGGCAAAACAUGUCCAGAUGGUUGUGAGCGGUUUGAGGGUUAGCUUUUGUAACGCCCGGUUAGUUAUGCUAUGGUAGUUCCCUGCUAAUGAUGUCACGUCACCACGAUUACUGUUGUUAACCUCACAAUGAUUCAAUCCCAUUCAAAUCCAAAUUUAAAAUAAAGGCAAACAUCAAAAGUUUCAAACAUUAAAACUAAAAUCUUCGAGAGGUGAAAAAUAAUGCAUAAGUAAUUAUGGUGGAGAAACCACACUUUUAUAAAAUGUUUAAAUACUCUAAAAGGAAUAAAACAGUGGCUUAAACUAUUAUUUAAAUGCUUUUAAAAUAGUAAAAAUGUUCUAACUAAAUUAAUUGGGUACCAAACUUUUGGUGGCAGUGGUAUAUUUAGUAGAAAAAAUUUAGAUGCUAAUUAUAUAAUUUACAAAAUUAAAGUAAAUUAAAAAAUAGGAUAAAACAUAAAAGGAAAGACAAAACAAAUAAAAGCAAAAGGGGGCAACCCCUCACUGAGCCUCGGCCUAGCUGGCCACUAGGCUAGCUAGGCCGGCCCAGCCGCCUCCCUUAACCCCCCACUCCCCAUCGAACAAUAGCCCGAUCGCCCCACUUCCCCCACACCCCCUCGUCAGCCUCCCCACCUCUCGAUCCCAUCUGGAUCGGGGAGGGGAUCGCCCCCAUCGACCCCGUCGCCAUCGCCGGAUCACCCGCUCGCCCAUCGCCCGCCGGCGUCGCCGGGCCUCCUCCCCGCCGCCCGUCUCCGGCUCUCCUCCCCUCUCGCUCCUCUUCCCCGACCCGAUAUGGAUCGAGAAGGGGCAAUGAGCCCGACGCCCCCCUCCACCGACGUUGUGCGCCAGCACCGCCACCCGAAGACCUCGUCGUCGCCGGACCUCGCGUCGCCUCCUCGUAUCUCUCCCCGACUCGCCUCCUCAAGCCACGCCGACCCCCUUCUCGGCAACGCUGUGAGCCGCCCCCGUUUCCCUCCUUCUCUUUCCACCGUGUUUGAUAAGUCUCCAACGUAUCUAUAAUUUUUGAUUGUUCCAUGCUAUAUUAUAUUCUGUUUUGGAUGAUUAAUGGGAUUUAUUAUACACUUUUAUAUUAUUUUUGGGACUAACCUAUUAACCGGAGGCCCAGCCCAAAUUGCUGUUUUUUUGCCUAUUUCAGUGUUUCGCAGAAAAAGAAUAUCAAACGGAGUCCAAACGGAAUGAAACCUUCGGGAAUGUGAUUUUCGGAACAAACGUGAUCCAGAGGACUUGGAGUGGACGUCAAGCAACAGACGAGGAAGCCACGAGGUAGGGGCGCGCCUACCCUCCUGGGCGCGCCCUCCACCCUCAUGGGCCCCUCGUGGCUCCACUGACCUACUUCUUCCUCCUAUAUAUACCUACGUACCCCCAAACCAUCAGAAGCGACCACAAAAACCUAAUUCCACCGCCGCAACCUUCUGUACCCGUGAGAUCCCAUCUUAGGGCCUUUUCCGGCGUCCUGCCGGAGGGGGCAUUGAUCACGGAGGGCUUCUACAUCAACACCAUAGCCUCUCCGAUGAUGUGUGAGUAGUUUACCUCAGACCUUCGGGUCCAUAGUUAUUAGCUAGAUGGCUUCUUCUCUCUCUUUGGAUCUCAAUACAAAGUUCUCCUCGUUUCUCUUGGAGAUCUAUUUGAUGUAACUCUUCUUUUUGCGGUGUGUUUGUCGAGAUCCGAUGAAUUGUGGGUUUAUGAUCAAGAUUAUCUAUGAACAAUAUUUGAAUCUCCUCUGAAUUCUUUUAUGUAUGAUUGGUUAUCUUUGCAAGUCUCUUCGAAUUAUCAGUUUGGUUUGGCCUACUAGAUUGAUCUUUCUUGCAAUGGGAGAAGUGCUUAGCUUUGGGUUCAAUCCUGCGGUGUCCUUUCCCAGUGACAGCAGGGGCAGCAAGGCACGUAUUGUAUUGUUGCCAUCGAGGAUAAAAAGAUGGGGUUUAUAUCAUGUUGCAUGAGUUUAUCCCUCUACAUCAUGUCAUCUUGCUUAAAGCGUUACUCUGUUUUUAUGAACUUAAUACUCUAGAUGCAUGCUGGAUAGCGGUCGAUGUGUGGAGUAAUAGUAGUAGAUGCAGAAUCGUUUUGGUCUACUUGUCACGGACGUGAUGCCUAUAUACAUGAUCAUACCUAGAUAUUCUCAUAACUAUGCUCAAUUCUAUCAAUUGCUCGACAGUAAUUCGUUUACCCACCAUAAUACUUAUGCUCUUGAGAGAAGCCACUAGUGAAACCUAUGGCCCCCGGGUCUAUUUUCCAUCAUAUUAAUCUUCCGUCAACAAGCUAUUUCUAUCUUUAUUUACCUUGUAAUCUUUACUUUUACUCUUUAUCAUAAAAAUACCAAAAAUAUUAUCUUAUCAUCUCUAUCAGAUCUCACUCUCGUAAGUGACCGUGAAGGGAUUGACAACCCCUUUAUCGCGUUGGUUGCGAGGUUCUUAUUUGUUUGUGUAGGUGCGUGGGACUUGAGUGUGGCCUCCUACUGGAUUGAUACCUUGGUUCUCAAAAACUGAGGAAAAUACUUACGCUACUUUACUGCAUCACCCUUUCCUCUUCAAGGGAAAACCAACGCAGUGCUCAAGAGGUAGCAAGAAGGAUUUCUAGCACCGUUGCCGGGGAGUCUACGCACAAGUCAAGACAUACCAAGUACCCGUCACAAACUCUUAUCCCUCGCAUUACAUUAUUUGCCAUUUGCCUCUCGUUUUCCUCUCCCCCACUUCACCCUUGCCGUUUUAUUCGCCUCCUUUUCGUUUGCUUCUUGUUUGCUCGUGUGUUGGAUUGCUUGUUUGUCGCGAUGGCUCUACCUAGAUUUGGUGAUCUUCCAUUAAAAGGUUAGAAGAGAUUGAAAGCAACGUCAGAAGUUUCAUGACUUUACAAUUUGAGCAUAACAAUUUCUUUAGAAACGAGCUUAAGGAACAAAAAAGCUUUAUGGGUUACAUGAAUAAAGAGCUCGACGAUAUGUCUAAGGAAUUUUAUGGUCUAAAAUCUUAGAUUUCUCAUCUCGAAAAAUUAAUUGCUGAAAUUUCGGAUAAGCAGGCCACCUUAGUUAAUAAGAUGGCCGCUAAACCGGUAAUUUUUUAUGAGAAUAAAGAUGAAGAUCUAAAAGUUAUUGAUGUGUCCCCUAUUAAAUCUUAGUUUUGCAAUAUGAAUCUUGAUAAUGAUGGGACUGGAGAUGAGUCAACUUUAGUUAAAAGGCGUCCCAAAAAUUCGGAGUUUUUAGAUCUUGAUGCAAAAUUUGGUAAAAGUGGGAUUGAAGAGGUCAAAACUUUAGAUAUCAAUGAACCCACUAUCUUGGAUUUCAAGGAAUUUAAUUAUGAUAAUUGCUCUUUGAUAUAUUUUAUUUCCUUGUUGCAAUCCGUGUUAAAUUCUCCUCAUGCUUAUAGUCAAAAUAAAGCUUUUACUAAACAUAUCGUUGUUGCUUUGAUGCAAUCUUAUGAAGAAAAACUUGAGUUGGAAGUUUCUAUCCCUAGAAAACUUUAUGAUGAAUGGGAACCUACAAUUAAAAUUAAAAUUAAAGAUCAUGAAUGCUAUGCUUUGUGUGAUUUGGGUGCUAGUGUUUCCACGAUCCCAAAAACUUUGUGUGAUUUGCUAGGUUUCCGUGAAUUUGAUGAUUGUUCUCUAAAUUUGCAUCUUGCGGAUUCCACCAUCAAGAAACCUAUGGGAAGAAUUAAUGAUGUUAUUAUUGUUUCAAAUAGGAACUAUGUGCCCGUAGAUUUUAUUGUUCUUGAUAUAGAUUACAAUCCUUCAUGUCCUAUUAUUUUUGGUAGACCUUUCCUUAGAACGAUUGGUGCAAUUAUUGAUAUGAAAGAAGGAAAUAUUAGAUUCCAAUUUCCGUUAAGGAAAGGUAUGGAACACUUUCCUAGAAAGAAAAUAAAAUUACCUUAUGAAUCUAUUAUGAGAGCUACUUAUGGAUUGCCUACCAAAGAUGGCAAUACCUAGAUCUAUCCUCGCUUUUAUGCCUAGCUAGGGGCGUUAAAUGGUAGCGCUUGUUGGGAGGCAACCCAAAUUUUAUUUUAGUUUUUUUGCUUUUUUGCUUCUGUUUAGGAAUAAAUCUUUGAUCUAGACUCUGGUUAGACUUGUUUUUAUGUUUUAAUUAGUGUUUGUGCCAAGUUAAACCUAUAGGAUCUUCUUGGAUGAUAGUUAUUUGAUCUUGCUGAAAAUUCCAGAAACUUUCUGUUCACGAAAACAAUUGUUAAAAAUCACCAGAACGUGAUAAAAUACUGAUUCUAAUUGCAGUAGAUCAAUAAACAAAUUAUCUAGGUCUUCCUAUUUUGGUAGAUUUUUCUGAGUUACAUAAGUUUGUGUUAGUUACAGAUUACUACAGACUGUUCUGUUUUUGACAGAUUCUGUUCUUCGUGUGUUGUUUGCUUAUUUUGAUGAAUCUAUGGCUAGUAAAAUAGUUUAUAAACCAUAGAUAAGUUGGAAUACAUUAGGUUUAACACCAAUAUAAAUAAAGAAUGAGUUCAAUACAGUACCUUGAAGUGGUGUUUUGUUUUCUUUCGCUAACGGAGCUCACGAGAUUUUCUGUUAAGUUUUGUGUUGUGAAGUUUUCAAGUUUUGGGUAAAGAUUUGAUGGAUUAUGGAACAAGGAGUGGCAAGAGCCUAAGCUUGGGGACGCCCAAGGCACCCCAAGGUAAAUCUAAGGACACCAAAAAUCCAAAGCUUGGGGAUGCCCCGGAAGGUAUCCACUCUUUCGUCUUCGUCCAUCGGUAACUUUACUUGGAGCUAUAUUUUUAUUCACCACAUGAUAAGUGUUUUGCUUGGAGCGUCUUGUAUGAUUUGAGUAUUUGCUUUUUAGUUUACCACAUUCAUACUUGCUGUACACACCUUUUGAGAGAGACACACAUGAUUCAGAAUUUAUUAGAAUACUCUAUGUGCUUCACUUAUAUCUUUUGAGCUAUAUAGUUUUUGCUCUAGUGCUUCACUUAUAUCUUUUAGAGCACGGUGGUGGUUUUGUUUUAUAGAAACUAUUUUUCUCUCAUGCUUCACUUAUAUCAUUUUGAGAGUCCUACAUAACAGCAUGGUAAUUUGCUUAAAUUGAGAAAUUAGUCCUAAUAUGAUAGGCAUCCAAGAUUAGUAAAAACUUUCUUAUAAGUGCGUUGAAUACUAAGAAAAGUUUGAUGCUUGAUGAUUGUUUUGAGAUAUGGAGGUAGUGAUAUUAAAGUUGUGCUAGUUGAGUAGUUUUGAAUUUGAGAAAUACUUGCGUUGAAGUUUGCAAGUCCCGUAGCAUGCACGUAUGGUAAACGUUGUGUAACAAAUUUGAAACAUGAGGUGUUCUUUGAUUGUCCUCCUUAUGAGUGGCGGUCGGGGACGAGUGAUGGUCUUUUCCUACCAAUCUAUCCCCCUAGGAGCAUGCGCGUAGUGCUUGGUUUUUGAUGACUUGUAGAUUUUUGCAAUAAGUAUGUGAGUUCUUUAUGACUAAUGUUGAGUCCAUGGAUUAUACGCACUCUCACCCUUCCAUCAUUGCUAGCAUCUUCGGUACCGUGCAUUGCCCUUUCUCACCUUGAGAGUUGGUGCAAAUUUCGCCGGUGCAUCCAGACCCCGUGAUACGAUACGCUCUGUCACACAUAAACCUCCUUAUAUCUUCCUCAAAACAGCCACCAUACCUACCUGUUAUGGCAUUUCCAUAGCCAUUCCGAGAUAUAUUGUCAUGCAACUUUCCACCGUUCCGUUUAUCAUGACACGUUUCAACAUUGUCAUAUUGCCUUGCAUGAUCAUGUAGUUGACAUCGUAUUUGUGGCAAAGCCACCGUUCAUAAUUUUUCAUACAUGUCACUCUUGAUUCAUUGCCCAUCCCGGUACACCGCCGGAGGCAUUCAUAUAGAGUCAUACUUUGUUCUAGUAUCGAGUUGUAAUCAUUGAGUUAUAAAUAAAUAGAAGUGUGAUGAUCAUCAUUCAUAGAGCAUUGUCCCAAAAAAAGGAGAAAGGCCAAAUGAAAAAAAGGCCCAAAAAAAGGGGCAAUGUUACUAUCCUUUUUCCAUACUUGUGCUUCAAAGUAGCACCAUGGUCUUUAUGAUAGAGAGUCUCUUGUUUUGUCACUUUCAUAUACUAGUGGGAAUUUUUCAUUAUAGAACUUGGCUUGUAUAUUCCCACAAUGGGCUUCCUCAAAUGCCCUAGGUCUUCGUGAGCAAGCAAGUUGGAUGCACACCCACUUAGUUUCUUUUGUUGAGCUUUCAUGCAUUUAUAGCUCUAGUGCAUCCGUUGCAUGGCAAUCCCUACUCCUUGCAUUGACAUCAAUCGAUGGGCAUCUCCCUAGCUCGUUGAUUAGCCGCGUCAAUGUGAGACUUUCUUUUCUUUUUUUCUUCUCCACAUAACCCCCAUCAUCAUAUUAUAUUCCACCCAUAGUGUUAUAUCCAUGGCUCACGCUCAUAUAUUGCGUGAAAGUUGAAUUUUUUUUGAGAUUACUAAAGUAUGAAACAAUUGCUUGGCUUGUAAUCGGGGUUGUGCAUGAUGAGAGCAUUCUUGUGUGACGAAAAUGGGGCAUGACCAAACUAUAUGAUUUUGUAGGGAUGAACUUUCUUUGGCCAUGUUAUUUUGAGAAGACAUAAUUGCUUAGUUAGUAUGCUUGAAGUAUUAUUACUUUUAUGUCAAUAUUAAACUUUUAUCUUGAAUCUUUCGGAUCUGAAUAUUCAUACCACAAAUAAGAGAAUUACAUUGAAAAUUAUGCUAAGUAGCAUUCCACAUCAAAAAUUCUGUUUUUAUCAUUUACCUACUCGAGGACGAGCAGGAAUUAAGCUUGGGGAUGCUUGAUACGUCUCCAACGUAUCUAUAAUUUUUGAUUGUUCCAUGCUAUAUUAUAUUCUGUUUUGGAUGAUUAAUGGGCUUUAUUAUACACUUUUAUUAUUUUUGGGACUAACCUAUUAACCGGAGGCCCAGCCCAAAUUGUUGUAUUUUUUGCCUAUUUUAGUGUUUCGCAGAAAAAGAAAAUCAAACGGAGUCCAAACGGAAUGAAACCUUCGGGAACGUGAUUUUCGGAACAAAUGUGAUCCAGAGGACUUGGAGUGGACGUCAAGGAACAGACGAGGAAGCCAUGAGGUAGGGGGGCGCGCCUACCCCCUGGGCGCGCCCUCCACCCUCGUGGCUCCACCGACCUACUUCUUCCUCCUAUAUAUACCUACGUACCCCCAAACCAUCAGAAGCGACCAUGAAAACCUAAUUCCACCACCGCAACCUUCUAUACCCCUGAGAUCCCAUCUUGGGGCCUUUUCCGGCGUCCUGCCGGAGGGGGCAUUGAUCACGGAGGGCUUCUACAUCAACACCAUAGCCUCUCCGAUGAUGUGUGAGUAGUUUACCUCAGACCUUCGGGUCCAUAGUUAUUAGCUAGAUGGCUUCUUCUCUCUCUUUGGGUCUCAAUACAAAGUUCUCCUCGUUUCUCUUGGAGAUCUAUUUGAUGUAACUCUUCUUUUUGCGGUGUGUUUGUCGAGAUCCGAUGAAUUGUGGGUUUAUGAUCAAGAUUAUCUAUGAACAAUAUGUGAAUCUCCUAUGAAUUCUUUUAUGUAUGAUUGGUUAUCUUUGCAAGUCUCUUCGAAUUAUCAGUUUGGUUUGGCCUACUAGAUUGAUAUUUCUUGCAAUGGGAAAAGUGCUUAGCUUUGGGUUCAAUCUUGCGGUGUCCUUUCCCAGUGACAGCAGGGGCAGCACGGCACAUAUUGUAUUGUUGCCAUCGAGGGUAAAAAGAUGGGGUUUAUAUCAUAUUGCAUUAGUUUAUCCCUCUACAUCAUGUCAUCUUGCUUAAAGCGUUACUCUGUUCUUACGAACUUAAUGCUCUAGAUGCAUGCUGGAUAGCGGUCGAUGUGUGGAGUAAUAGUAGUAGAUGCAGAAUCGUUUCGGUCUACUUGUCACGGACGUGAUGCCUAUAUACAUGAUCAUACCUAGAUAUUCUCAUAACUAUACUCAAUUCUAUCAAUUGCUCGACAGUAAUUCGUUUACCCACCGUAAUACUUAUGCUCUUGAGAGAAGCCACUAUUGAAACCUAUGGCCCCCGGGUCUAUUUUCCAUCAUAUUAAUCUUCCGUCAACAAGCUAUUUCUAUCUUUAUUUACCUUGCAAUCUUUACUUUUACUCUUUAUCAUAAAAAUACCAAAAAAAAUUAUCUUAUCAUCUCUAUCAGAUCUCACUCUCGUAAGUGACCGUGAAGGGAUUGACAACCCCUUUAUCGCGUUGGUUGCGAGGUUCUUAUAUAUUUGUGUAGGUGCGUGGGACUUGAGUGUGGCCUCCUACUGGAUUGAUACCUUGGUUCUCAAAAACUGAGGGAAAUAAUUACACUACUUUACUGCAUCACCCUUUCCUCUUUAAGGGAAAACCAACGCAGUGCUCAAGAGGUAGCAGUGUUCACCGCGCCGCCCGCCGUGCCCCUCGCCGCGCGCACGCCCACCACCGCGCCAGCCCCCGCUCAGCGCCCUCUCCUGCACGCUUGUGCGCGCAUGACCCUAGCCACGCCCGCGCCGUGAUCCCCUUGUUCGGCCCGCCUUCGUCCCGCGCUCGCCGCGGCCCCCAUGCUCCCCCGUGCCAUCUUCUAGGGGCGUCGGCUGCCCCUGUCCCGCUGCUCGCUGCCACGCCUCGCCCGCCCGCGCCUCGCCACCGCUCUACUGCUACGCUAAUAUUGCGCUGUGGCCGCCGCCGCUUCCCGCUGCUCUGCCAGCGCCGAAGCUCCCGGUUGGCUCCGCCGCUGCUCACGUUUUACCGCCCCUAAACGGCCUACCCCCCCCCUCGCUAAUGAACCCCCACUGACCCGCUGACACCGGGACCCACAUCCCCUAAUUAACCAUUUAAUAAAUUAAAAAUCUUAAAUUAACAUUAGUGUAUGACAUGUGGGUCCCCUAUUAAUUAAACUGAUUUAAUUAAAAUCUAUUAACAUUGAGUCUGUGACAUAUGGGCCCCACUAAACAUUUGACCAGUCAACGGUCUAGUCAAAUGCUGACCGGACAGUUGACCAGAGGGCCCCACCAGUCAGCCUCUGUGCUGUUCUGCUGGGUACCUUUCUAAGUACACCUAGCAUUUUGCAUUUACAAUAUUUGUUUUAAAAUAAAUUAGAAUAAUUUCAAAAAAAGAUUAAAACUUUUAAAAUUAAAAUAAAAUAAUCCGUAACUCGGAUGAAAUUACUUUAUACAUGCAAGUUGCUCAAAAAACGAGACGAAUCCGAAUACACAGUCCGUUCGUCUGCCACACGUCCCUAGCAUAGCAAACAUGCAACCAUCCCCCUCCGGUUCGACUGUCCGAAAAUGUCAGACACGGGAAAUACUUUUCCGGAUUUUCCCCUUCACCAUUAGCACCUAGUACCGCGUGAGGGCAUACCUAGCACCACUUAUUGUAAUGUCAUGCAUCGUCAUGCAUCUGUUUGCAUUGUAUUCAUUGUUUCUUCCUCCUCUUCUCUCCGGUAGACUACGAGACCGACGUCGGUGCUGCCCCGGUCGACUACGGUGUCCAUGACCCCUCCUUGUAAGCAGAGCUUCCAGGCAAGCAAACCCCCUUGAUCAUCCCGAUAUCGCCUACUCUUUCCCUCUACUGCUUGCAUUAGAGUAUUGUUACUGUUUGUCGGUUUGAUCCUAUACUGCUGCAUGGCUUGUCUUUGAUACUACUUAUGUGUUAUUUGUGUAGAUUUGUCAAGGAAAAAUGAGUCUAUAGCCUAAUAAAUGAAGUGUUGCAUGUUACCACACAUAUGUUAAUCCCCACUAUAGAGUUAGUAACAUAGACUAGUAACAUGUGCAUGUUACUACCCAUUGUGGCCAGUCUAUGUUACCACUUUCCUCUCUUUCUUCAUUUAUUGCUUGCCACAUCAUCUAUUUUAUCUAGGUAUGUGUGAUAUUACUACCUAUGUUACUCCCACUGUGGGUAGUCUAAGCAGGCUAUAAGGAAUAGAAUAAUAUAUAUGUGCUUAUUAGUUGGAGGAAAGAGAAGAGAAGCGGGCUCUUGGUUAGUAGAGCCAGCUACAACAUGAGACCCAAGCACUUUGUGAGGAUGUAAGGUGGCCAACUAUUGAUAAACUAGUACGUAUAUAAAAAUUAUUAUUGCACAUGGCCGCUAAGAGGUUGGCUGUAUAUGACAUGACAACUUCUUAUAGCCGACCCUUGGCUGUAUUAUUAACCAUGCUCUUAGUGAGGUAGCUAGUAUAUCAUAGACGACUAGCUAGUAUCAGACUAGCCAAAGUGGGAGUAACUUCAGCAGUAACAUCGACUCCAACUCAGAAAACUUGCUUAUGUGGGAGUAAACCGUGCCCAAUGCAAAAUACAAUCCCAGUCAUAAUUUUUUCAGGAAACGUGUGGUAUCCCAAACGAAAAGUACAUGUCACUCUUGCGGCAACGAUACCCAAUAAAUCACAAACGGUCUGCAGCACUUGUAUGUGUGCGAAGAGGCUCCUGAACCGUUUGUGAUAGAACAUUAUCGUAGACGAUAAUUGUUGGCAAACGUGUGCGAUGGAGUCUAGCAUGGCAGACAGGUUACGCAGAAAACUCGUGUGCGAUGGGGCACAAAUCGCACACAGUUCAUAUGUUGGCCCGUGUGCCUUACAUACUAUUUCCCAAACGGUUUGUUACGACAGACCGUAUGGUUUCAGUGCGUCAUUAGAAACGCUUAAUCACCGAUACCACACGUGCGAAAGAAUUUAGUGUGUGCUUCAUCGCACACGAUUACAUUUUGGAAGGCCUCUGGAUCACUGCUCCAUAUCCCCGACGGUUUCUGGGUCGUGUGGGAAGUACACCCUAUCGCACACACUCACUUGGCGACGGUUCCAAAUGCCAUCGCGGAAAGGGGUUGAAAACAGUUUGUUUAGAACCGACGCGUACCAUUGUCUAUCUAUCUAUCUACCUAUCUAUCUAUCUAUCUAUCCAUCCAUCUAUCUAUCUAUCCAUCUAUCUAUCCACCUAUCCAUCUAUCCAUCUAUCUAUCUCUAUCCAUCUAUCUAUCUAUCCAUCUAUCCAUCUAUCUAUCCAUCUAUUUAUCUAUCUAUCUAUCUAUCUAUCUAUCUAUGUAUCCAUCGAUCCAUCUAUCCAUCCAUCGAUCCAUCUAUCCAUCCAUCUAUCUAUCCAUGCAUCCAUGUAUCCAUCUAUCGAUCUAUCCAUCUAUCCAUAUAUCGAUCUAUCCAUCUAUCUAUCCAUCUAUCCAUCUAUCCAUCUAUCGAUCUUUCCAUCUAUCGAUCUAUCCAUCUCUUCAUCUACCCAUCUAUCCAUCUAUCCAUCUACCGAUCUAUCUAUCCAUCUAUCUACCUACCUAUCUAUCUAGCUAUCUAGCUAUCUAUCUAUCUAUCCAUCCAUCUGUCCAUCCAUCCAUCUAUCUACCUACCUACCUACCUACCUACCUACCUAUCUAUCUAUAUAUCUAUCUAUCUAUCUAUCUAUCUAUCUAUCUAAAGGAAAUAUGCCCUAGAUGCAAUAAUAAAGUUGUUAUUUAUAUUACUUAAACUAGCAGAGUCACCCGCGCAUUUGCGCGGCUAGAUUGACUACAUAUAUUGUUAUAUUUGGGAUUAUUUUUCUAUGCCAACUUUAUGGCCUCUUACUCAGAUAUUAUCUAAUUUAAUUUACCACCACCAUAUGUUAUAUCCAUAGAUUAUAAUUAAAAGGCAACUUGCGACGAAACAUGGUCAGAUUAUUGAGUGCUCAGAAGACGGGCGCAAUAUCAUAUAUAGACUUCUAUACCAAUCUUCAUGGUUCCCAUCUUUGAUCCUCUCCUCGUCCCUUGGUAUCUAUCUUUGCACCCAAUAUGUCUUUGGAGUUCCAAGAAUUGGAUCUUAGCAUGAAUGGCUUCAAAGUGUACCAAAUGUUCUCUUGUUCCUCCCAAAUUAAUUACUGGUUGCAUUCUUAGUUGCUUUGACAUUCUUGGUUAAUGCAAUGUCUUGCCUACCAAUAUAUGCAUCCACACACGAUCAUAUUUAUAUGACCACUUACCUCUGUAUUCUGGUAUUUGUGCUUCAGAAUUUUUCUCUCAUUCAGUUUAUUCAUAGAUUAGAAACGUCGAUCGUUUCUUUAUUGGUUUGCAUUAUCUUGUUUGCCGAAUGUAAGCAUCCACACAUGCUCGUCAUGAUAUGAUUGGUCAUCAUUGUAUAUUUGUAUUUGUGUGUUGAUAGCUUAAGGAUUUUCUCGGAUUCACUUCAUAGUUUAAGGAUUUUCUCGCGUUCAAUUUAUUCUACCUUAUUCAUUUUCAUGUUUCUUUAUUGUAUUCAUAUCCAUUCUUACAAUAUAUUUUCCAAGAUAUGAACUCAACUACUAAUUACGUAGUUUUCAAUGAAAUUUUACAUGUAAAAGUGGUACAAAUGCAUAAACCCAAUUUUUUUUUAAACACGUUGACUUACAAAAAGGACAAUUCAAGCUGCAUGUACGUCCGACUCAUGUUUACCUGACAAUGUCGAUGUUGAUUUCAGCAGUAAAUGAGCUGUGUGUGACCUUUGCGCUUUCCGGUAUUCUUCUAACCUGUGUGCUUUAUGAUCAGUUUGUUGUGCUUAGUACUGGACACUGGAGUAUACUAUCAUAUUUGAUACAAACAAAUCCGAACUGCUAUAGUUAUGAUCCACUGUAUAGUUAAUGGUGGUGGUAAUUAAUAUAUGUGGUUAAAUACUUGCGCUCCUUAGGUGGGGAGUUGGAUUUGUAUUUGUCUAAAAUGAAUUUCAGAUUUCGUAUCAGUGGUGAAGCCAGCCGGAAGAACCUCUGCGUCAUUAUUAAUUUUGGUGAUAUUUUUCAUCAUAGUGUAGAAUAAUUUUAGUGCUUAUUCCGCAAAAAAAUGGCCUCAACUGACCCCAUAGCUUGUAUGUUGCGCCACCACUGUUUCGUAUAUCUUAUUACAUCCGUUGUUUUUAGAUCUUGAUGCAUAACUUUGACAAUUUUUAAUAGAUAUGUGUCUGUAUAAAAAAAUUAUAAAUGCUAUGAUAAUUUGAUUAAUUAUGAUGAAUAAAAUGGUAUUGCUUUGACUUGAUCCCUCUAACAAUUUAUAGGAAUGCUCUUAAAUAUUUCUGCUUCAUUUGAUCUCAUUAUAGCCUGCCUAAAUUACAUGGCUUAAUCGCCUUUUUUCUUUUAUCUUAGUUCAUUUCCGUAAAUUCAUUUGUACUAUAUAUGCUCCCGUAAAUUCAUUUUUUUAAUUGCUCACAUUUUUUUGAGGCAUUUUGAGUUUCUCACGUACGCUCAAACGCCCAAGAAAACACAUAUAGUGUUCGCUACGCCCAAGAAAACACAUUGAGGCAGUAAUUUCUUCAGGCAAGAUCGAUCGGCAGCUAAUUAAGUAGGCUGGAUGGCAUUGAGAAAUCCAAAAACGAUUUACAUACACAUGGUAGAUCGUCUCUCUCUCUCCUUCCACCCCUUCCUUUCAUGGCCAUCGUAGACUGCACCAUGUGGCAUUCAAACUUUUAUCAAGGGGAGAGUUUCCUCACACACACACACACACAUGCACAUACGCAAGCACACGCACACACGUGUAGUACAAACUUAGAAUUUUUGGAAAUAAUGGGAGGCCGAGCAACGGCCAUGUGAAAAUAUGAGGUAUAUAGCUUGUGGAUUUCCUUUCAGUGUACAAGGCCUGCAUGAGGAAUGGAUAAAAAAUUAUAUCUUUGAUUCCCUUAGUUAAAUCUUAUCCUUCAUCGUCAAUUAUGACUAAGCAUACAUAGUAACCGCUAGUUUCUCUUAUAUGCUUCCGAGAAGAUAAGACUGGAUAUUUUAGUUGCUAUUAAUUGUUUCCCUUCUUUCGCUAAAUAGUAGUCAAACAUGUUAUUAAUGUAUUUUGUAAGGAUAAGGUCGAGCAUCAUGGCCACUAUGUUCUAUAUAUACUGAAUUUGGUGUUCAGUAUGACAUAACAAACACAUAUUGUGAGAAGGAGUAGUGUACAUUGUUCUCUAGUGCACUUUGUUCAGCAAGUUGGGUGAAAAUGUUGAAUAGAACCAUCAAGUUUUCAUACUUUUUUUCAUGGCACAGGUUUGCCUUCUCAUGAUGAUGGCCGCACCGUUUGCACAAGCUGCUGGGAGGCCUGUGGCCUCCUUACCAUGGGUAGCGGGGUGUUGCCCGAGGAACUAUUUGUGUUGUGGUGUUGGUGCCGUUGCCCCGACAUCCCAUGCAUCACAGGCCACCUCUGUACCUUGAGUUAUGGUUUCGCCUGAUCUCCUCUCAUAACAUAGUUGAUAUAACAUAGUAGCAUCACAAAGGUUGCAUGGUUUCAUUGAUUCAUCUCUUUUCUACUCCUUGAAACUUGUGAUGCCACUUUUGAACAAUGUCAUUGCUAUGUCUUCUUAUAACUAAUAAAAUGGGAGGAUAUUUUCAUCUUAUUUGAAUUGUGUUGUAACAUUACCUACUAAUGUGGAUGAUCUGAGUGGGACUACAUAGAUCGGAUCUUCUAAAGAUGUAAUCUAGGACUUUGCGAGAUGAUGAAAUUGUCCUUUAUCUUGGUCGACACCUUUUCGUAGAAGUGUUGGUCGGCCGUCUGUGUCUUUUUGCGGUGCAUGCCGUAGAAUCCUCCAUGUUUUGUAGUUGUACAAUAACCUUUGAGGCAACCGGGGGUGGUACGUCUGAGGAAGUCGGUGGCCCAGGAAUAUUCAUAAUAAGAUCUUGACCAUGGAUGCCAAGUAAUUUGCCCCGUGCUGAUGUCGUCGGGCUGACCCGCUCACUUAUGUUUUGACUCAAGGAGUCGCUAUGUUCACCGAGUCGCGAGACAGCGGGAGGAAGGAGACGAAGGUCCCAAACGUCAGACCAAAAAGGUGGACUAGGGCUCGCCCUAGUUGUGCUCUCGGGUAUUUUCAGUUACUAGUAGGAGUAAGAAGCAUUGCAAAUUGCUCCCUCUGUUCAAUCCGUAUAUAUGUAGUCCAUAUUCAUAUAUUCAAAAUAUUUUAUAUUUGUGAACGAAGGAAGUAAUUAAUUGUAAUGCAACAAUUUCAGGGGAGGCCAGUCAACAGCUAACUAAAUGUGCUGGAUGAGACUGGAGAAAUGUAUAAACGAUUUACACAUGAUAGAACUACUCUUUUCUUGUUAAGAAAUGGAAGAAUGGAUGAUUUUAUCCGUUCGGAACAAAACCCAAUAUUCAUCCAGUUAGACGUUGUUCUGAAUUGUGACGCUUUUGAAAGUUUUCUCGCAGAAAUAUGUGUGUAUUCCAGUUGUAUCAUUAGCAAACCAAGGUUGUAUAUAUUAUAGCACAAAGAAUGUUUGGUUGAUUCGUUCAGGCGAAUCGGGUUUGUUGCUGACUGCCAAAGUCAGGCCAACUCCAGCGCACGACCCCAAACGGACAUCUGUUUUGCCUGGAUUCUGCCCGUUUGGAUAGGGCAAUGGGGUCGUGUCCGGGCCUGUCCUGUGAUGCGGUGGCCGUGCGCACAACGUGCGGACGCAUCCUUUGGCCUCAUCAUGUCCGCCACGGCCAAAAAUGCCCAUAUAUUCAUAUUUCAAUGUUCAAAACUAGUUUGCACGUUCAAAUAUUAAUUGUCUGAAAAUAAAAAUAGUUAUUACAACCCAAUCAAAAUUGUCUCUAAUAAAAUAGUUUUACAACCAAAUCGAAAUUGUCUUGAAUGAACAUAAUGAACCAAUACAUCUAUUGGUUGCCAAUGUGAUUCCACAUGUGCUCAACCAAGUCAUUUUGAAGAUCCAAAUGAGUGUGCCAAUCAUGCAUUUCACGAUGAAAUUGGGCAAACUUCUCAAACGUGGCCGGUUCUUGGUGCAGGGGCUGAACAUUUUCACCUUGAAAAUCAAAUCCUUGGUCGAAGAUGCUGUUAUCAUGCUCGUCCUCGAUGAUUAUGUUGUGCAUGAUCACACAAGCAGUCAUCACCUCCCGAAGCUUCCCUUCAUCCCAUGUCAAUGCAGGGUUUCAAACGAUACCCCAUCGGGAUUGAAGCAAACCAAAAGCACGUUCCACAUCCUUCCUAGCACUCUCUUGCAUUUGGGCAAAUCUCUUUCUCUUCUCACCUUGGGGGUUCGAGAUUGUCUUCACAAAAAGUUGACCACUGAGGAUAUAUACCAUCAGCUAGGUAGUAUCCCUUGUUAUACUGGUGGCCGUUGAUCUCAAAGUUGCCAGGUGGGGAGUGGCCUUCUGCAAGCCUUGCGAAGACUGGAGAACGCGGCAGCACGUUGAUAUCAUUGUGAGAACCUGCCAUGUCGAAGAAAGAAUGCCAUAUCCAAAGAUCUUGCGAAGCCACCGCUUCUAAUAUGAUAGUGCAAGCUUUAACAUGCCCCUUGUACUGGCCCUGCCAAGAAAAUGGACAGUUCUUCCACUCCCAGUGCAUACAAUCUAUGCUACCAAUCAUGCCUGGAAAGCCUCUAGCUGCGUUGGUCGCCAACAAGCUUUCUGUAUCAGUGGCAUUUGGCUGCUGAGGGAGUCCUGGAUUAAGGGGUCCUCGGGCGUCUGGGCUAUGUAACAUGGGCUGGACUAAUGGGCCGCGAAGAUACAAGAUGGAAGGCUUUCCCCCCAUGUCCGGAUGGGACUCUCCUUGGCGUGGAAGGCAAGCUUGGCAUGCGGAUAUUAAAGAUUCCCUUCCCUGUAAACCGAGUCUGUACAACCCUAGCCCCCUCCGAUGUCUAUAUAAACCGGAGGGUUUAGUCCGUAGAGGCAAGGAUAAUCAUACAGGCUAGAUAUCUAGGGUUUAGCCAUUACGAUCUCGAGGUAGAUCAACUCUUGUAAUCCCUAUACUCAUCAAAGUCAAUCAAGCAGGAAGUAGGGUAUUACCUCCAUUAAGAGGGCCCGAACCUGGGUAAACAUCGUGUCCCCUGCCUCCUGUUACCCUCUAUCCUUAGACGCACAGUUCGGGCCCCCCUAUCCGAGAUCCGCCGGUUUUGACACCGACAGCUGCCUCAAGUACUCAGGGCCAAACACUGCCACCACAGCCUUGUAGAAUUUGUAAAGUGACAACAGACAUGUCGACUCACUCAUGCGCACGUACUCAUCCACCAGAUCGCCUGGAAUUCCAUAUGCAAGCAUGCCGAUGGCCGCGGUGCACUUCUGGUAAGAGGAGAAUCCAAGCUUGCCAAGGGCAUCCGUCUUGCACUCGAAGUAUGGGUCAUGAGCAACCACUCCCUCUCGGAUACGAUUGAACAGAUGCCUUGCCAUACGAAAACGGCGACGGAAUUUAUUCGGCUUGAAGAGCGAGGUAUUCGCAAAGUAAUUGGCAUAGAGCAAGGCGUGGCCUCUCUCUCUAUUGCGUUUCAGGUUGGGAGCACGGCCAGGGACUGACCCCAUGUACCGAGGAAGCUGCCCAAUGUGAUCGUGAACGACCAGUGCAACCACCACCAGAUCUUCGUCAUCCGAGGACGAAUCAUCCGAUGAAUAAAUGAAGUGGUGGAAGAAAAAUUCAUCUCCACUGUCCAUACCUUUGUGGGCAAAGUGUCCAACACCUUGCGGUCGUGGUGGCAAAUAGGCCGCGAUGAUCAUCUCGAUGCAGCAGGGGUGGUUGGCGGCCGGCUACUGGCCGCUAUGGAGCACCUGGCGAAAGCUGCCGUGGUCCAUAUCCGUCGCCGGUGGUCGUAUCCCCUCUGGCACCGGCUACAACGACGACGGCCAAAUCUCCUCCAAGCGAUGGCCAGAACUCCUACGAAAGCGCGGGCUUGGUGGCGGCCGUGUCGAGACGUGGUUUGGUAUGGAUGGCCGGGGGGAAGCAGUGAGGAGGCGGUCGGAGAAUACUGGGGGCGCCGGUGGCGGGGUGGGGCGGAGGAGAGCGGGUGGAGGCGUUGGAGGCGAAUGGAGUGCUAGUGUCCCCAACAGGCGGGCCGCGGGGAGGACAAGGGCGUGUGUCCAGCCCGUCCGUGUGAUGUCCGUUUCAUCCCAAACUCGGCACAAGUUUGGGCCAGGAAUGGGUAAAAAACGGACGAAAUCCGGACAUUUGUCUAUUUGAGGCCGUGCCUUGGGUCGCGCUAUUCGUGUAUUCUACCCUAAACGGACGCACCAGAACGGAAUGGGGUCGCGUGCUGGAGUUGGCCUCACGACCGUUUCUGCCUUUGGCGCAGACAAGAGAUUCUACACUGUAAAGGAAAAAGCUGAAAGCUCGCUUGUCUCGUGUGUUUCUCUUCUCUUGCACCUUGUCGGAAAACAGCGUGCACCAGGGACGCUCGAUUCCAUGGCAGGCAUCAAUUCAAUCGAUCAUGCUACAGGGAACCGGCACUAUUUUCUUUUUCUUUUUCUUUUUCUUUUAGGUCGUGAACGCAAGUCAUUUGAGACAUUCACAUAGGACUUACAUAAUUGGUAGAUUUAUUAGCAUCAGUGUGGAGCUAAAGUGUUUGAUGUUUUGUAUGAAUGGUUUGGUCUUAACAAUCAAGCCGACCACUCAGGACCUACUUUUGGACUUUUUUUUUGUAUUAUUGUAUACUAGCAAAAGGGCCCGUGCGCGGAGAAAAAAAUUAUAAUCUUGAAUGACCAUGAUCACAUUUUUUUGCAUCACCGAGAUACACUAUCACUUUCAAUUUCGGGAAAUCAUGUACAUUUUUUAAACUUGUGAACAUUUUUCAAAUUCUUGAACACUUUUACAAAUCUGCAAACAUAUUCUAAAAUCAAGAACAUAUUUUGAAUUCAUGAACAUUUUAUAGUAUUUACAAACAUUUUUAGAAAUUACGAAUUCUUUUUAACAACUUUCUUGAAUAGGCAAACAAUUCUAAAAUGGACGAACAUUGUUUUAUAAAUCGGUGGAACAAUUUUUGAAAUUCACGAACAUUUUUUUGAUUUUACAAACAUUUUUUGAAAUGCAUGAUCAUUUUUGUAUAAACUAUUUUGUAUGUCACGAACAGAUUUUCAAAUAUUUGGUUAUUUCCCCAUUCAUGAACAUUUUUUGAAUGGUGAUAUUUUCUUCAAUUUCAUUAACAUUUUUUAUACACCAAUUUUUAAAAAGUCAUGGACGUAUUUUGAUUUCAUGAACAUUUGUUUUCAAAAUUUCGAACAUUUUUCGAGUCAGAUUCUUUAAUAAAAUUGCAAAUAUUUUUUGAAUACAUAAACAUUUUAUGAUUUAUUAAAACUUUAUUUGAAAAUUAUUUUUAAAUUUCAAAUAUUUUGUGUAUUCCGAAUUUAGUUAAAGCAGAAAAAACGGAAAAGGAUAAAAAAGGAAAUGUUAAAAACAGGCCGCCCGGACAUGGGCGGCCCAAACAGGCGGGCCGCGCCUUAUCCCUACGCGCAGAGCCCAGUAUGGGAGGUCGCUACUACAUGGCCCAGUCCAGACGUGGAUUCCCUGUGUGAAACAUUUAUAUCACUUAUACAUGACAUUUGUGGGUAAUUUGUACGACGUGCCAUAAGAAGAAAUAGCCCCUUUAUUAUUACUAGCAAAAGUGUCCGUGUGUUGUAAUGGGAGAAAUAAAAUCAAAAUCUCCAAUGACCAUGACCAUAUUUUGUUGCAUCACCCAGACACCCUAUCACUCUCAAUUUCAUGAAAUCAUGAAUAAUUUUUGAAAUCACGAACAUGUUUUAAAAUUAUUACUCAUAUUUGAAAUUGUGAACAUUUUUCAAAUUCAUGAACACUUAUACAAAUUUUCGAACAUUUUCUAAAAUCCAGAACAUUUUUGGAAUUGAUGAACAUUUUAUACUAUUUGCAAACACUUUUUAAAGAUUCUGAACAUCUUUAUAAACAAUUUUCUUUAAUCGAGGAACAUUUGUAUGGAAAUUGACGGAACAAUUGUCGAAAUUCACAAACAUUUUUUGAUUGAACUAACAUUUUUUGAAAUACAUGAUCAUUUUUUGAAUCAGUAGACAUUUUCUGAAUGACUAAACUAUGUUGUAAGUCACGAAAUAGUUUUUGAAUUUUAGGAUAUUUCUCCAUUCAUGAACACUUUUUGAAUUGGCUAUUUUUUUCAAUUUCAUUAACAAUUUUUGAUACAAAAACUUUUUAAAAAUCAUGAAUUUUAUUUGAUUUCCCAAAAAAUUGUGUUUAAAGUUUUGAACAUUUAUUGUGUAAGCAAUUGUUUUUUACAAAACAGCGACCAUAUUUUGAAUCCACAAACAUUUUAUGAUUUAUGAAAAUUUUAUGUCAAAAUACUCAUUUUUUAAAUUUUCUAAACUUUUUUGAAAUCCUAAACUAUUUAUAGUAAAAAGAACGAAAACAGGAAAGAAAAAUGAAAAUAGAAAACGAAAUCAAAGAAACAGGCCAGCCUGAAAUGGGCCGGCCCAAACAUGCGUGUAGCGUCUUCUCCCAGCGUGCCGAGAACAUUAUAGGAGGUCCCUACUGUAGAGCCGGCCCAGAUGGGGGAAUUCCCUUGUGUGAAUUUUUUGUAUCACUUAUAUGUGGCAUUGAACUCAUGAAGCAUGCGCUAUCCCUUCCAGCUCGCCGCCAUGUCUGGCUCGGACAACCAGAUGGACUUUCUUUCGUCCCUGUAAACGUUUUGAUGAUAUAAUAAAAAGCUUCGGAAUUUGUCUAAAAAAACUUAUAAGUGGCAUUGGUGGGUAAUAUUUUGCAACUUUAGAGGUAAUUCCAUGACGUACCACCAGAAGCACAAUAGCCCCUUUACUAUUAUUAGGUACUCUUUUUUCCUUGUGGAGCUUUGGAAAUGAGAGAAUUUGAAUAUAGUAACUCUCGGAAACUCUUAUUGGACGAGAGAGAUUUAAUAUGAUAUUGGCAUGGGUUCUACCAACUAAACGAAGAAGUAUUUGACUGAAUAAACAGACAAUUUCCUUUAAUCGACGAACAUUUUUAUGAAAAUUGGUGGAAUAACUUUUGAAAUUCAUAAAUAUUUUUUGAGUUAACGAACAUUUUUUGAAAUACAUGACCAUUUUUUUGAAUCUGUGAACGUUGUAUGAAUGAAUAAACUAGUUUGUAAGUCAUGAGCAGUUUUUCAAUUUUUAGGAUAUUUUUCCCUUCAUGAACAUUUUUUCAAUUGGUGAAAUUUUGUUCAAUUUCAUUAACAAUUUUUAGUGCAUAAAACUUUUUAAAAUCAUGAACAUUAUUAUUUACCAAAGAAGCAAAUUGUUUUUUGCAAAAUCAUGGACAUUUUUUGAACCCACAAACAUUUUAUUAUUUAUGAAACAUUUUUUUAAUACACAAUUUUUUUAAUUUUCGAAUUUUUGUGAAAUACUAAAUUAUUUAAAGUAGAAAAAUCAAAAACAGAAAAGAGAAAGGAAUAAUAGAAAAGGAAGUUAAAUAAUAGGCCGACCGAACAUGGGCUGGCCCAAACGGGCGCACUGCAUCUUCUNNNNNNNNNNNNNNNNNNNNNNNNNNNNNNNNNNNNNNNNNNNNNNNNNNNNNNNNNNNNNNNNNNNNNNNNNNNNNNNNNNNNNNNNNNNNNNNNNNNNNNNNNNNNNNNNNNNNNNNNNNNNNNNNNNNNNNNNNNNNNNNNNNNNNNNNNNNNNNNNNNNNNNNNNNNNNNNNNNNNNNNNNNNNNNNNNNNNNNNNNNNNNNNNNNNNNNNNNNNNNNNNNNNNNNNNNNNNNNNNNNNNNNNNNNNNNNNNNNNNNNGUAUUAUUAUUGUUUCAAAUUUAUUCAUAUAUUAUUUUCAAUUGUACAACCAUAAUUUUUCUUAUCUCUCUCGUUCCACUACAUGCUCCUAGUCAAAGAUUUUUUUUAAUAAUGGGUGUUUUUAUUAACUCAAAAUAUAGCAUCAAGCGGAUACAAAACAUAAUGAGCCACACCCGGUCUAUGCAUAACUAAGAUGCACACAGCCAAAAGCAGAAGUCUGACAAAAAUAAGAUAAGAAAAUCGACAUAUCGACAACAGUGAGUCAUGUAGUACCGACACUAUGCCUCUGUCGAAGGAGGUGGUGGAGCGAUCUGGAGAUUAUGCUGCCAUCCAUGUUGAGUAAAUAUCUCCCUGGCCACUUGCUCCAACCGCAUAGACGCCGCCAUGAACAACGGUUGGUACUCCAUUCGGUGUAGCAUACACCAUACUAGAGGCUGGGGCGCCACCUGAGGCGGGCCUAUGCGCACUUAUUUUGUCUGGGCACUUCGGUUGUCAUGUUUGGUCAUCAGUAUCACUUAUGUACAUCAAUAUGGGCGUAUGCUGUAUUGUUUGAGUUCAUUAGGAUCUAUUAGUAUCACAUCAAUCAAAGUACAUAUACUAUGUUAUUUGAGUUCAGAACCAUCAUAGGCAAUGAUACGUCUAAUAAGGAUAUAUAACAUUUAAUUCAAAAGGAAAGACAAAGUAGAAUUAAGUGCUUUAGUUUGGCCGAAGAAAGGAACCUCAUGAUGCCAUGACUAAGGAACCAAAUAUAAAAGAGCACCUUUCAGAGUACUCCAGAGGUAUGACAUCAUCCAUUUCCACAUCAGAAUCAUCGGAAUUCUCCUGAUCUUCAUUUCGAUGUACCCAACACAAAUGCUACAUGGAUUUUAGUCAGCUGCACUCCCCACUACUUCUACACUUCCCCUUUUUCACACCGACGAGCAGAGACUGAUGCAAGUUGAUCGAACACAGAACAACAUAUAAUUUCCUAGAGAUGCGCUGGGCCUGAAAGGCAACAUACCUAGCAUGCGCAUAAAAUGUGAGAGUAACAAUAAAAGAACAUACCAUUUACCGAUAUGAUUAUUAUUGCUUGCCAAAAUGAUACGUUUUGAUUACUAUUGCAUGCCAAUAUUCUUAAUCACUCCAAGCAAAUUUAACCUAAACUAAAUAUCUAAGAGUAAGCUCUGGUUUAUGUAUUUUACAGAAGUUUGGUUCAGCGAAACUUCGGAAGCAAAUGUGUGAAGGUUUUAUCAUUCUAAUUAAAGGCCUUUUGAUUGUGCAAAACUUACACUACCACAUGAGUUACUGACCAACAUGAGAUGCAAAGUAACAACAGCAUGAUAAUUUUUUUUGAAGGCAGUCAUAUUCUAAAGCAUUAAAAGAUGAAUUCCAAUGCUUUGAUUCUGUAAAGAAUUAGAUCGAUCACUCAACAGUUCUAUUGGCGCCACUAAAAUUCUGAGUGCAAUGUUGUGUAUGUAGCUAAAAUUCACCCAUCAAAGACAACCUUAAUAAUAAGCAAUGGUCAAAACAAGCAAUUGUUGAAGUUAAAUGUAAUUAGAUAGGAAGUCACAUUUGAUUCAUGACCAUCGAGCUGAAAAUGAGACCGAUAAAAGCUGAUUCACCAUGAAGAGAAACAACUAAUGUGAACCUCGGGUUGUAAAACAAAUAGGAUGAGUCGUGUGCUGAUUGCAAAAAAUUGUACUUCUAACCAAAUGACCAUGCUUCAUGAAUAGAUGACAAUAUAGUAACACGAAAGUGAAGUACGGUGAAAUUUUGUAAGCUACUAAGGGCAUAGGGCAAAGCUCACACUCCAGCUUGCACUCCUUGAAGAAAUCAACCAAAAGCACCCAGAAAGAUAAAUGGCAUUGUGGCAUCCGAUGAAUGUUGAUAACUGUACCAUCACACUAAUUUAAUCUACAAAAUUCAUGUCAACAUCACUAAUCAUGAUGUAUCAGGUUAGGAUAAAAUCAUUGUUUUUUCCCAAAAUAAAAUAAAACAAGCCCAGUUAGAAAGAAAUCAUAAGCCUAUCAGACAAUCAGGCAAUUCUGUUAGCAUGUCAACAAUCAGACAGAACAAAACCUAUAGUCCUCAUUUUUUUCUUUCUAAAAAAAGUGUAAUGCUAGAAAAGAGAGUUAAAUAAAAUGCUACGUGAAUCAGCAUACAGAAAAUUCAUAGAAGCAAUGAAGAAAAUAUGAACAAAAUUUAUGUCGAAACACCUAUACUUUCCCCACGAGCAAAUAUGUGUAAUGUUAGAAAAGGGAGUUAAAUAAAAUGUUAGGCAAAUCCGCAUCCAGAAAAUUCAUAGAAGCAAUGAAGCAAAGAUGAGCGACAAAUUUAAUCUACACACACACACACACACACACAUUCAGGCAAACAAAUUACUUCGAUUGAAUCCAUUCCUUUGCAUAUAUGGCAUAAAUGCAUCUAAGGAAAAAAAAACUUGAUGGUGUUAGUUUACCUUGCCAAGAUCAUGAAAUCCAUCUAAAUGAAUAAGAAGCUCCAACAGUGUCCGCUGGAUCUCAUGGUCGUCAUUGGUUCCCUCACUAAAUCUUCUCGCAUCAAUUGCAUCGAUUUCAUCCAUGAAGAUAAUGCAUGGCUAGAAAUAACAACUUGAUGAAAAUGAAACAAAAUUUGCAAGCACCGUAAAUAAACUAAAUGGUGAUAUAAGCUAAAAUGAUCUCAGAAGUGCACUUUUACAUAUAUAGAGAUCAGUUUGAUUUCUUCUUCUCAGGAAAAACUGAUACUGAAAUCUAAAGCUUAAAGUUUUUCUAGUGUUGAACCAGAAUACAAUUAGAUGACAUGACAUCUGAGUCAAGGGAACUAUCAAAGUCACAGCUUGAAUCUCAACACCAGUAGAUGCAUAACCAUCUGCCAACAUACGUUUCUAACAGAUAAUAAGGGAAUUAGGUUUAAGACCAAUUGGCUUUGCAAAAAAGAAAGGCGGAGCAAAACUUACUUGGCGAUCGCGUGCAUAGCCGACCAUUUCUCUGAUUAAAAGCGCACUUUCCCCGAUAUAUUUGUCAAUUAUAGCACUUGACACAAUCUGGUUUUUAGACAACACGUCAGUGUAAUGUAAUACUCACAGAAUGAAAAUACCAACCACCAUCAAUCAAGUGAAAACCACAGCUCCAAAAAGUUAGCAUGAAUGUUACUGGAUAUAGCCCUUGAUAGUAAUGGCUUCCCUGUAGAGUAGAACGCACUUGAAAAAGUUAAAGAAACAUACACUGGCUCCCAUAUAUUGAUCUUGUAUUUGACAAGUGGCCGGGCAUCAACAUUGUGCCUGCUGGUGUACCAAUUCAGCUUGUAGCUGCCAGCUAAUCUCCUUCUGAACAGUUAUGCUGUCCUCACUCACGUGCUACGCCUAUUCAAACUUGCUUAAUUUAAUUUGUUACUACUAUGUUAAUGCUGACAUAUUAACUGGCAGACCUCAUGUACUAACAGUAAAUCCCAGCAUACUUUCUUAAUUUGCUACUAUCCGGAUUUAUUCUUUUAGCGAGAGGUCAGGUAUCACUUGGAACAACUGAGUUUCUUUUUAAUCUUUGUGGACACUACACUUGAACGCCACAACCACCUGGAUAUGUCAGGCAGGACGGGCAGCAGCGCAUCAUCAGUAAGUUUAUUUAAGAGAGUAAAAUUCAGUCGCAAUCAGUCAAUCUCAAUCAGGUUCAGAUUUGGACGCGACCUUGAAUAACGAAGCCCCAACUGGGAAGAACAAGGUUGCAAGAACAAGCAGAUUGACGAUGGGUUCAUGGAAGCUUACCAGGCAGGCAGUCCGCCCGGCGGCUUGAGCAAGCUGCUGCUGGUACCCUACGCGCAGUCGCAGUCCGCACCGGCCAGGGCACACGAGCACUGACGCGCGUGCCGCCUGCCGCUUCACCAUGCCCACGUUGUAGUCGCCACCGAUUCACGGCAGGGCAGAGGGGCCUCGACCUCGUCCUCCUCCACAUCAUCAUCGGCGAUGCCCUUCCCCUCCUGACCCCAACACCAUCAUGCCCCCGCCGACUCAUCUCCCUACAGCGACGGCGACUCCGGAGGCUCCGAGACCUGGGACACCGACAUGAGUGGCUCGUCGGCAUCGGAUCUCCUCCACCCNNNNNNNNNNNNNNNNNNNNNNNNNNNNNNNNNNNNNNNNNNNNNNNNNNNNNNNNNNNNNNNNNNNNNNNNNNNNNNNNNNNNNNNNNNNNNNNNNNNNNNNNNNNNNNNNNNNNNNNNNNNNNNNNNNNNNNNNNNNNNNNNNNNNNNNNNNNNNNNNNNNNNNNNNNNNNNNNNNNNNNNNNNNNNNNNNNNNNNNNNNNNNNNNNNNNNNNNNNNNNNNNNNNNNNNNNNNNNNNNNNNNNNNNNNNNNNNNNNNNNNNNNNNNNNNNNNNNNNNNNNNNNNNNNNNNNNNNNNNNNNNNNNNNNNNNNNNNNNNNNNNNNNNNNNNNNNNNNNNNNNNNNNNNNNNNNNNNNNNNNNNNNNNNNNNNNNNNNNNNNNNNNNNNNNNNNNNNNNNNNNNNNNNNNNNNNNNNNNNNNNNNNNNNNNNNNNNNNNNNNNNNNNNNNNNNNNNNNNNNNNNNNNNNNNNNNNNNNNNNNNNNNNNNNNNNNNNNNNNNNNNNNNNNNNNNNNNNNNNNNNNNNNNNNNNNNNNNNNNNGGAGGCUCGAGCUUGGGAAGGGGGGAGGGGAACGAAGGGGUGGGGCUCCAGGCAAUCCUCACCUCCAAAGACAACUUGACCGGCAACACGGGCAGGCUAGACCUCUUCUAUGGCGAGGCCAACUUCGGCGAGGGGACGAGGUGGUGCGGGACCUUGGAGAUAUCUCCCCCGCGCGUGGAGCUUGUCCGGCGACGCCGCUGAAGAUGCCACUGCCACGACCAGCUCGAUCCUCCUUCGCUGGACUCCGAUCUGGACGAGGACUGAGCUAGGAGGAGGGAAGCGGGAGAGGAGAAGGCGCAGGAGAAGCGGCUGAGCCGGCGGCGCAGGGACCAGGGAGAGAAGAAGGCGAACGAAGAGGGGAUUGACAGAGUGGCGAAGAAGCAUGCGGGCUAGGUUUCCUUUUCUUUUUCUCCCAGCACUGCACAGUUGCUUGUCUCGUAGCUUGCCGGCAUGGCUAUGGCGAGGGCUCGCCCUUGAUGCGUAGGUUAAUGUAUUCGACUAGCGGGGCGCCUCUUGAGAGGAAGCUGAGCGGUGCUAGGUGGGACGCGCCCCUUUCCCUUUCCUGCAUAUACUAUGUAAUGUUAUUGCAUCAGAUUUAAAGUAACAUGCUCAGCUAAGUGCAAAGUGUGAUGAAUAAGUGAAACAGAAGGAAGCUGGUACAUUGGUGUAUGCCAAAAACUGAAUAUUAUAACAUAAACACAUGAAGUCAUCGACGUCUAUGGUAUGAAAUGCACAUGCACAAAAUUAGAGUGCACAUGAAGACAGAGCACUAUAGUGUCCUGAGUUGCAAGUCUCUAAGCACUGAAAUGAUCUGCAAUCAUAUGUACAAAGUAACCGAAUAAGAACAAGAAAUUUAGAGUAAAUGAGCUGUAAAAUUGUAAGUAAUGAGCAUUGGAAUUAAGGCAGAGUCAGUGACAGUUGGGUGCACUUGACAGGAAAAUCGGCGAGGCAUAAUAUGAAAUUAGAGUAAAUGAGUGCGUGCACUUCUCUUGGUGGCACCUAAAUGAAAAAAGAAACUAUUCACCUCUCGAUAUAUUCCCUAAGACCAUAUAAAAUCAGGAAGGUACUGAAGAGAGAUGCUCAAAUUCGAAGUUGCCAUGUCUAGGAAUGCUUGAAGCUUCAAAGAUUUCCUAUAAUACAGCAUGCCUCUAACUAUUCACAAUAAGAAAAACAUGUAAAUGCGGAAUCAACCAAAUGAUGGUAAAUUGUAGUUGAUUUUGGCCAAGCAAACGUCAGAUGAAAGAAACAUACAUGAGUGAACAUCACGAUUGGAUGUUUUAUUCAAAUUUAACAGGUUAAACUCACCAAAUACAUCUGGAUAUUUAGUGUUAAACUUCAACAGAUGGUCAGUUGUAGCUAGAUUCACACCACUGAAGCAAAAUUCCAUCUGCCACGGUUACAUCACACCAUCUUUUCAUCGUUACUAUUUAAAUUCCAAAAGCCUGCAACUCAUUUUUUUUGUUACGAUGUAUGCAUGAUUUUUAACUCAAGAGGAAGAGGGGAAACUAAAUCCAAGAAAAGAACACCAAGGAAGCAUCCAAAAUAGAGAAAGGAAAAAUCCAAAAUAGAGGCAGAAUCGAAGGGAAGAAACCCCAUAAAAAAUAGGAGAUCAAACGGUGAAAAAAAUCUAAGAGUCAAACAAUUCCAGGUAAGACCAAAUCGACGGCAAAAUAGCACAAGAGGGACUCACAUUAACAGGUAUACCAAUUCAGAAAGAAGUGUAAAGCAAACAGUGCAAUGGACCACUAGUAUAAAUUGGAUGUACACAAACAUGGGACUUAAACAGGAACUGCGAGAUGCAGGGUUCACGUGCAAACCCAAAAAACGGAAAACUGAAACCCACAACAAGAUUUUAUCUUCAUAUAUAUAUAUAUAUAUAUAUAUAUAUAUAUAUAUAUAUAUAUAUAUAUAUAUAUAUAUAUAUAUAUAUAUAUAUAUAUAUAUNNNNNNNNNNNNNNNNNNNNNNNNNNNNNNNNNNNNNNNNNNNNNNNNNNNNNNNNNNNNNNNNNNNNNNNNNNNNNNNNNNNNNNNNNNNNNNNNNNNNNNNNNNNNNNNNNNNNNNNNNNNNNNNNNNNNNNNNNNNNNNNNNNNNNNNNNNNNNNNNNNNNNNNNNNNNNNNNNNNNNNNNNNNNNNNNNNNNNCCUAUCUAUUAGUUGCUUCUUCCGAAUCCCCACCUAUCAAGCGUUUUCUUUGAAUAAACAAACACAAUAGUAUUCUCUGAAUUAUACUGUACAGUGAUAAUUAACCAAGCGACUGGAAUUAACAAUAUUAUGAGCUAUUGGCUUUUUAGUCAGGUAAAUAUCAUUCUUAAGACUACGGAAAACAGCAGGCGGCGAAGAAAACAUCUAUUGAUGAGAACUAUACACAUACUUAAGAAGGAAGUGACAUCUAUGGUAGCAGAACAUAUAUCAAGCUGUUGCAGCUACAUUAGCAGUUUAGCACAGUCCCUCCAUAAUACACAGGCUAGUGUAAUUUCACAAAUACAAUAAGCUAACAAUAUAUAUUUGGUAGAUGGAAAUGGCUGGAUCAUGACCAAUAUACGAUUACACAUCCGAUGAUGCAAAUAAAGAAACGAGGCCCAACAAUAGUGGAAAAUAAACCACAAUAGAACAUGUAUUUGGCGAAACCUCCAUACUGCAAUAUCAAACAUGAAUUGAAAUUAACAAUCUAGCAAAAAAACAUGACAGAUGCAGUCUUGGUCAUUUUUUCUUUUGUGACAUCCCCUAAAAAAAGUAAAAAGAAUGUUGUUCGUAUUUUACCAGAGAUACACUGAGCUGGGACAAAUCGGUCUGAAAUAAAAUAUGAUGGCUUCGGAGGAUUCGGAAGGCAAGAAAUUUGCUUUCUUCCAACAUAUAUGGUCUGCUGAACUAAACUUUGUUUCAGCGAGCUUUGGCAAAAAUCUGUAACUGCAAACAUCAAACUUGUGUGCCCUUCCUACAUCAAACUUUAAACCUGACGGAUUAAAUAUUUUAGGUUAGGCUGAGAUCAGUGUACUUUAUGAGUGUUAAGUGUACUUUCUAAAUAGCAGAGAAACCAUAACAUCUAAGCACAACCCAGCAACUUGUACAAGCUAACAUCAAAUCUGAAAGAGGAAAUGUCGAGAACAGGUGAAGGUACCAUGAUCCAUGACUGAGCAAAGUUAUCUAUAAUCCUCGGUGAAUAUCAUAAAUUAGGAUCAACAAAGCUGAAGAACAAACGGGAAAGGAACCUAGAAAGAUCUUCUGCCGGUAGAAUAUAACUGAUACACUAUCCUCAUUCUCGAGAUCAAGGUCGUUUCUUGAAUUGCAGUUUCCUCACUGUAGUAUGGGGUCAUUACACUGCGAAGAACAAAGUGUCAUAUGAAUCAUUUAGAGCCCAAUCUUUUUCACUGAAACUCUUAUGAUCACAUAACGAAUUUAAACAUAAGGUUUAUUAGAUAUUUGUUGUUGUGAACUGAUAAUAUAUUUCUGGUGUUGACAAUGUUUUGAUUAUGGAUGCACUUCAAGAUGGGUGGCACAGAUUCUGUUGUACAGGCCUCCACCUGGAAUUUCAUCACUUGUUAUUUUUGUUUAGAAUGUCUAGGUGCAUUUUUCCUUUAAGGUGGAAACAGAUGUACUUGUAUAAGCAACAAGAAUACAAAGCGCCACUGCCAUACAUUGUGGAAGUUCAAUGCUUCUGUUUACAAAAUCUGCUUCCCAAAACAGAAGGAUUUAUAAUUUUUUAUUACAAUCAAGCGGACAUGAGCUGAUGAGUACAGAUGUAAACAUGUACUGAGAGCAGCACCCUUUCAAAAGUGGAUCAUUUACAAGUUGGAUAGUUUGAUGGUCUGAAAUUAGUGGUCGUGUUUCAGAAUUGUUAUCGAAUAGUAGAGGAUAUAUAUUAACUUCUGAAAUUAGUGGCUGUUUGUCAGAACUGUUAUCGAAUAACAGAGCACAUAUAUUAACUUCAAUAAGUGGAGUAAUAUCUUUGGAUUCGCUGUGAGGAAAGAUUACCAAAACAAAACAGAAGUGAGUGCGACGACCCAGAUGAGGGCGCUCUUGAGCCUCUUCCCGACCGACCUAGAUGCAGGAGCAGAACACCGCGGAUCUAAUCAGCCAACGAAUAAAGCCGAGGCAGGUAGAGGAAGUAAGGGAGGAAGAAGACUGACUUGUCCUGGUCGCCCUCGUAGUAGAAUAUGGUGAACGGGAUGACGAGGAAGACGAGGACAGCGUCGAGGAUGUAGACGACGAGCCAGAGCGUCUUCAUGGGCAGGAUAAGGGCGCAGGCCCCGUUGUAGGCGGCGUGCUUGCAGGUCUGGCGGUUGGCGACGUCAGCGGGGAGCAUGAGGAUGGAGAGGACGGCGACGGUGAUGCCGAGCACGACGACGAGCUUGGGGAAGUAGGCCUGGUUGGCAUCAUCCGGGUGCUGGUAGUUGACGAGCAUGUAGACGCUGACGAGGAGCACCAGGAUGCUGACCACCGCCGCCACGAUCACUAGCGCCACGUUAAAAACCCCAUCUCCUCGGGGCUCCGGUCCCGGUUCCGGCCCGCCGCCUCGCCCCCGUUGGUCGGUCAGAUCUCUCUGUCCCUAGAGGCGGGGGGAUACAGGCUAGGGUUUGGGCGUGGGCGGGGAAUAGGCUGCUAUGGUGUCGGCAGCGGGGCGGCCACCGGCGGGGAGGGCGGGAUCCGCGCGGGGUGGCGGGAUUUGGGCAGGCGGUGGGCUCGGGGGAGGGCGGUGGCAGCGAAGCAGCAGGGAGGGGCUGGAGGAGAUGAAACGAAAGAGGUCGCGUGACACAGCGACAGCGUCGUCCAAUCCCCUCGCUGCCGAUUUAAAAAAAGGUAAUGAUAACUCCCGAACGUUCAGGAGUUAAGCAUGGCAACCCGAACGGGUUUAGAUGGCAAGUUUAGUUUGCGUGAGAUUAGAGAAACAUGGCAAUUUUCUGACAAAAGAAAUGAAAAAGGACGAAGUUGCCAUCCCCUAUCAACUAAAGUUGCCAUCCCUAUGAACUAAAGUUGCCAUGUAAAAACGUUCGGGAUGAAAUGCUCAAAAUCCGAACGUUCGGAAGUUAUUGGAUUCAAAAAAAAUCCCCUUGCUGCCAAUCGCUGGCCCGUUUCUUUUUUCGCCCAAUCGCUAGGUGAUGACGUGGCUAUCACGGGAAGGCGCCCUUGAUGCGUAGUCGAAUGGUUUUAAUUAAUAGGAAGCGAGUGCUUACUCUAGUUACUGAAUUAUGUACACCAAAUAAAGCCAUUUACACGUAGUUAAUGACAAAAAAAGUUGAUGUUUGCUACGCAAACGUGUAGUACAAAUUAAGAAGUGCAAGAUAAAAAAAAAUGCUGGUCCUUGAUUCGUUGUUGAUCGUCAGCAUGCCAUCAUCAAUUUGUAGUUAAUUAUCAUACAAAUUGGCUCUUUCAUAGAGUUGGAGGCUAGCUCCUUUGAUCAGCACGCGCUUAAACAUAAACAGCACGUAUAUGUUUUGUCUCCGGAGUUCAAUUCUUCAUCGGCCAGCAAAAAUGGCCCGACCGGGUAGAGGAAAAGGCAUGUUUGUUAGUACGCCUGGAGGAAAUGCCUUUGAUUAGGGCAUCUUCAACAGCGACCAGUAAAUUUCCUCCCGCGUUCGUCCACGGAUAGGGGAUCAGUCCGCGGAUACGGAUACAGGAAUCAUCUAUCUAACGCUGUCCGCGUAUAUUUCAAACACAUUUUUUUUAAAAAAAUAGGAUGAAAUUCAUGCAAACACAAUGGAUUUCAUACAAACCGGACAAAAAUGUUUACAUUUUGGACAUAUUUUUUUUACUAAAAACUCUACAGCCGGCGCCGGCGAAUAUCCACUCCGGCGACAUGGAACCCUUGACUAGUCUACUGCCGGCCGCAGCGGAUCUCCAAUGUCGUCCCCAUGUCCGGCAACUAUGAGCCCUAGAGGUAUAUGCUUCAGCGCAAAGAGCGGCUCGCCUCCCUACCGCUCAUCGGAGUGGAACAACCAGCUGAUGCUUCUGCCGAUGGAAAGGGUCCCUACGCUACACGGAUUAGAGUUGGUUUUGGGCUGGGAACGGCGGUGGCCUGCCAGAGGGCAAGACACCGACUGUGUAUGCUGGUGUCACCUGGUGUGGCAUUCGUGGGACCCAAGCGGCAGCGCCUCCUCGAUGAUGGCGGCGAGCGCGGACGUGUUGGACACCACCUCGUCGAUGUCCGUGCAGCCCGCUUCUUUCUCUGUAGGAAGGACGCGGUUACGCUCGCGUUGACAUCGGAUGACUCGGUCACAUGCACGGGAGGGGCGGUACGACAUGGCACCGCCAAUGGCAGCCAUGAUGCCCGCGCCAGCGUGCUCUCUCCCAGUGCCGACCUAGAGCAACUUGCCACUCCUCUGCUCGUGAACGGUGGGCUUGACGGGCCACCUAGCCAUUUUUUAUGCCAGACAACUCUUCUUCCUGCUCGUCAGAUGUCAUGGAUAAAACUGUUUAAGGAGGAAAAUGAUGAGUAGACGUGUGAUGCGGUUCUUGCCCAACAUCUGACAUUGUUUAAAUAGCGAGGGGACACGAGAGGAGCCAACUGGCGUUCUGUUUAAUGCCAACCGGCUCGCGAACGAACAUGUGGCUGGAGUAAUUAUCCUGGCACACACGCGGGUUUAAUGGUGGAAGGUGGGCAGUCUGCAGGAAUGAGGCGAGGAUGUGUGCUUAGCCGGCGUGCAGCAGGCGGCGCCCUCGGCCGGCGUGCUGCAUCCAUUGCGGAGGCAGUGAGAGGUCGCGUCCGCUCUGCAGCGCAUGAAUGCGGGCAGCUGGCGCAGAGCGGGAACGCGUGCGGGCGAGGGAGGAGGGGGUUUGGGCGGGUGGUCAGAAGAGGUCGUGGGUGUUGUCCGAACGCCUGCAAAGCCCCCCUCCAUGUUUGUCUCCAGUUUGCGGGAGAAAGUAUGUCCGAACCGUCUCCAAUGGACCAAUACAGGCCCGCAUUGGAUGGCACAACACGUCCGGACCAUGUGGUCCGGAUGGUUGUGGACAGUUUAAUUGAGGGUCGGCGUUGGAGAUACCUUAGAGUUUAUGAAUCCAUUGUGUUUUUCUAAUCAUAAAAAAGCACUUACAAUAAGUUAUAAGGAAAGACACGUUUAUAUGUUAGGUUCAGACUCCAGCUUUCGUUUUACAUAUGCUUUAUUCAUCCGACUGAUUCCAAUAGAGUGAGCCUAGCGUUGUUUUUCUGGAAACUCGCGGGAUAAGGAGACAUGCAUACACAUUCUUUCAAGCAAAUCACAUCCAUCCUUUUUAACUCAUUUUUCUUCUUUUAAUAAUAUAAUAGAUCAUUUAUAUUUUUAUCUGAAACAGUUGACGUGUAAUUUAUAUUGUAAUCUGAGGAUAAUGUUUGGAUUUUACUUUCAAAUAUAUUUGAAAUGGCCAUGAUGGAAUCACAUCCAUUUAUUUUAUUAUUAUUUGAAUUUGAUCCAAAAGAUAAAUAAUGAGUAGAGGUCAUGUCAACUUUUCUGAGAACUUUGCUAAUCAAAAUAUAAUUGUAUUUAAAAACAUCUAUUUUUUAGCACGCAUGAAAAAGAUAACACGUAUCUUUUCACACAUAAUGAACGGUUGUCAUAAGAACUCAUGCCAUGCCACAACCUCCCUCCGACCCUGCCAACAUUGUUGCAGCUGCACUCGCAAGCCUUAGCGUAGAUGAUAAUUUAUACAAUUUGCGUAAAACAAAAUAAGAUCUACAAAUGAAUAGAAGCUAGAACGUACAUUGGCAUGCACACACAUUGCAAGCCAUACUAAGCUGAUAAGUGUUAAUAACUUGUACAACAUAUACAACACUUAAGACAAGUAAAAGCAAUUUGAUGAGUCAUGGUCUAUCAAAGCCACAUUACUAGUCUAAUCCAUCUUAACAGGUCACACAUGAUUAAAAUCUUGUUUGUGUGCAAGUCAAGCUUAUCUAGUUUACAUGUAACAACUUGUAGAACAUUACAAAAUUUAUGUUUGCUAAUAACUUCUAGAACACUACAACACUUGACAUGUAAAAGGAAUUUGAUGAGUUAGCGUACUAAAGCAAGUUAUAUUACUAGUCUUAUCUACCUUAACAGGCCACACAAGAUUACAAACCAAGUUCUGUGCCAGCCAUGCUUAUCUAGAUUAUGCGUAACAAUUUGCAGAAAAUUACAAACUUAGUUUCAGAAAAAUAGGCAAUCUAGAUUAGUGUUUGAGCUGUAAAGUGAGUAAAAUGAGUCAUGCGUGUUAUCACACCUUUUUGGUUGUGGAAUGAUAGUGCAACAACAAGGAACUUUAAUGACCAGUUCAAGAAUACACUUGUAAGUAGUGCCACCGAACACAACAUACCAAAUUAUGAUUUUGAGAAGCAUCCAAGCACUUCCACACAAGCAAAUGCCAAUUGUGAAAGAGAUCAUGCCAUGGCAGCUAUAAAUAGGCCCGUAGCAUGACGAUCAUCCUUCCUCAUCCAUCAUUCUCAUAAGUAGAGCGCAUCAUUUAAGCCAAGCAAGCAGUGCUCAAUACAAAUCCACCAUGAAGACCUUUCUCAUCCUUGCCCUCCUUGCUAUUGUAGCAACCACCGCCACAAUUGCAGUUAGAGUUCCAGUGCCACAAUUGCAGCCACAAAAUCCAUCUCAGCAACAACCACAAGAGCAAGUUCCAUUGGUACAACAACAACAAUUUCCAGGGCAGCAACAACCAUUUCCACCACAACAGCCAUAUCCGCAGCCGCAACCAUUUCCAUCACAACAACCAUAUCUGCAGCUGCAACCAUUUCCGCAGCCGCAACUACCAUAUCCGCAGCCGCAACUACCAUAUCCGCAGCCGCAACCAUUUCGACCACAACAACCAUAUCCACAACCGCAACCACAGUAUUCGCAACCACAACAACCAAUUUCGCAGCAGCAGCAGCAGCAGCAACAACAACAACAACAAAAACAACAACAACAACAACAACAACAGAUCCUUCAACAAAUUUUGCAACAACAACUGAUUCCAUGCAGGGAUGUUGUAUUGCAACAACACAGCAUAGCGUAUGGAAGCUCACAAGUUUUGCAACAAAGUACUUACCAGCUGGUGCAACAAUUGUGUUGUCAGCAGCUGUGGCAGAUCCCCGAGCAGUCGCGGUGCCAAGCCAUCCACAAUGUUGUUCAUGCUAUUAUUCUGCAUCAACAGCAACAACAACAACAACAACAACAACAACCGUUGAGCCAGGUCUCCUUCCAACAGCCUCAACAACAAUAACCAUCAGGCCAGGGCUCCUUCCAGCCAUCUCAGCAAAACCCACAGGCCCAGGGCUCUGUCCAGCCUCAACAACUGCCCCAGUUUGAGGAAAUAAGGAACCUAGCGCUAGAGACGCUACCUGCAAUGUGCAAUGUCUAUAUCCCUCCAUAUUGCACCAUUGCUCCAGUUGGCAUCUUCGGUACUAACUGAGAAGAGAAGAACUCUAGUAGUAGAUAUAUGAUACACCGUUUUCUUAGUCCAUGGUUUGGUCGUUGUAGCGGUGAAAAAAUAAAGUGACAUGCACUAUCAUGUAAGAACCCGAACUAUACUAGUUCAAACAUGGGAAUAAAAGACAAACACAUGUCUUGUCUACAUAUGAUUGUUUGUUUGAGUUCCAC
rnacentral:lncRNA from 1 species